rnacentral:rRNA from 1 species
ACGAACGCUGGCGGCGUGCUUAACACAUGCAAGUCGAACGGUGAAGCGCCUUCCUUUUUGGUGGGUGUGGAUGAGUGGCGAACGGGUGAGUAACACGUGAGUAACCUGCCCCCUUCUUCUGGAUAACCGCAUGAAAGUGUGGCUAAUACGGGAUAUUCUGGGUCUGUCGCAUGAUGGGUCUGGGAAAGAUAUUGUUUCGGUGGGGGAUGGGCUCGCGGCCUAUCAGCUUGUUGGUGGGGUGAUGGCCUACCAAGGCGGUGACGGGUAGCCGGCCUGAGAGGGGGGACGGUCACACUGGGACUGAGACACGGCCCAGACUCCUACGGGAGGCAGCAGUGGGGAAUAGUGCACAAUGGGCGCAAGCCUGAUGCAGCGACGCCGCGUGAGGGAUGGAGGCCUUCGGGUUGUGAACCUCUUUCGCCAGUGAAGCAGGCCUGCCUCGUUUGUGGGUGGGUUGACGGUAGCUGGAUAAGAAGCGCCGGCUAACUACGUGC